AAAUUGUGUUUGAUUGUUUUUAUGAAUCCAAUCUCCAAAUGUUUUUUGAAUGUUGAUAUGUUAAUUUUCCUGACUUUUAUCACAAUUUAUAGGCAAAUAUCUAGGUUUGAAGAUGAGCAGAUGUUUUAGCAAAUAAUCGCGAAUCAUCAUAUUUUAAAAUAAUAUUUGCAUUGAAUUAAUAUUAUGUGUAUUUGAACACGGCCAAUAAAUCAAAACAAGAGUGAAAAUAAAAUGCAAUUUCUUCAAUUUUCAAUAAUUAAUCAUCCAUGAUUGAAUUUAAUAUCAAAUCAUAAUUUGCAAGGCUGCAAUAAACGGAGCUUAUAAUAUAAAUAAAUGACAAAAAUAGAUCGCCGGUCAUUUAAUCAUACAAUACAGACUGAUCAAAUAAACAAUUGAAGUGACGAAAUUCUGAUGAGGAUCGAAUUGCUUUUUCACGCCAUGUAAACAAAUGGCAUUCAUUCUACAUAACCAAUGCGAAACCAGUCAAUUAAAAGUGAUAUUUGAUUUUGGAAAAAUCACAAACCAAGCACAUUAUUGAAUUUUGAUGUUGUAUGCAAAAAUCACGAAUUACCGUCUCAAACUGGCCGCACUUCAUAUAACUGACAACUUCUUUUUUUGCAUCAUUCUAUUUUUGCGAGGCUACUUAUUUGCACGCAGCUUAAGAGUAACAACAGAACUUUCAAUUUAUUUCGUUUAUUAAAAUCAGUUGGAGAAAAAUUAACUUAAAAUAAUCAUAAAUUAACUGAUAAAAUCUACACUAAUUGAUCAAGACUACAUCAAGUUUACGCGCAUCGCAUCGUUUCACUAUGAAAACUCUUAAAUCUUGCGGUUGUUUCGAUCUACGAACUGGUGGUUUGAUAUUUGGCUACACAUUCCUUUGGCUUGAUAUUAUUUUCAUUUCGAUAUCAUUGGAUUACGCCAUGUAUUAUAGUGCAUUGGGUCUCGCCCUUCUCGUGUUCCCUAUUUCCUGGACUGUUGGCGUUCAUUUGAAUGAUUCAAAACUUAUGUGGCCUACUUUAGUAGUUAUUGUGCUUAUGACUAUGUUAAUUGUCGCUCUCAUUCCUCUUGUCACAUUAAAAUUAAUAUCGUUUGCUAAUAAUGCACAAGAUCCUAACACAAAGCACCCGAUUACCACUUAUUUGAUGUUCUUUUACUGGAUUUUAUAUUGUAUGUUCGCAGCAUUUUCAGUGUAUGUGACAUGGGUACUGGCCUCUUUUUUCCAUAAAUCAAUGAUAGAGGAAUUGCGAUCUAAAAUUGUCACUUACAACCAAACCGCUUGACCAAGAAGUUCCAAUAAAAAUAAUAAUAUUACAUAUUUAAGUAAAAAUUAAUUCUUUACAUGUCACUUACACAGUUUAAUGUCAAAAAAAUUCAAAAGAGAAAUACAUAUUCUUGUAUACCAUUCGAAAAAUUAAAUAAAAUUCCAACUAAAUUUGCAAAUUA